GAUGAACGCUGGCGGCGUGCCUAAUACAUGCAAGUCGAGCGAACGGACGAGAAGCUUGCUUCUCUGAUGUUAGCGGCGGACGGGUGAGUAACACGUGGAUAACCUACCUAUAAGACUGGGAUAACUUCGGGAAACCGGAGCUAAUACCGGAUAAUAUUUUGAACCGCAUGGUUCAAAAGUGAAAGACGGUCUUGCUGUCACUUAUAGAUGGAUCCGCGCUGCAUUAGCUAGUUGGUAAGGUAACGGCUUACCAAGGCAACGAUGCAUAGCCGACCUGAGAGGGUGAUCGGCCACACUGGAACUGAGACACGGUCCAGACUCCUACGGGAGGCAGCAGUAGGGAAUCUUCCGCAAUGGGCGAAAGCCUGACGGAGCAACGCCGCGUGAGUGAUGAAGGUCUUCGGAUCGUAAAACUCUGUUAUUAGGGAAGAACAUAUGUGUAAGUAACUGUGCACAUCUUGACGGUACCUAAUCAGAAAGCCACGGCUAACUACGUGCCAGCAGCCGCGGUAAUACGUAGGUGGCAAGCGUUAUCCGGAAUUAUGGGCGUAAAGCGCGCGUAGGCGGUUUUUUAGUCUGAUGUGAAAGCCCACGGCUCAACCGUGGAGGGUCAUUGGAAACUGGAAAACUUGAGUGCAGAAGAGGAAAGUGGAAUUCCAUGUGUAGCGGUGAAAUGCGCAGAGAUAUGGAGGAACACCAGUGGCGAAGGCGACUUUCUGGUCUGUAACUGACGCUGAUGUGCGAAAGCGUGGUGAUCAAACAGGAUUAGAUACCCUGGUAGUCCACGCCGUAAACGAUGAGUGCUAAGUGUUAGGGGGUUUCCGCCCCUUAGUGCUGCAGCUAACGCAUUAAGCACUCCGCCUGGGGAGUACGACCGCAAGGUUGAAACUCAAAGGAAUUGACGGGGACCCGCACAAGCGGUGGAGCAUGUGGUUUAAUUCGAAGCAACGCGAAGAACCUUACCAAAUCUUGACAUCCUUUGACAACUCUAGAGAUAGAGCCUUCCCCUUCGGGGGACAAAGUGACAGGUGGUGCAUGGUUGUCGUCAGCUCGUGUCGUGAGAUGUUGGGUUAAGUCCCGCAACGAGCGCAACCCUUAAGCUUAGUUGCCAUCAUUAAGUUGGGCACUCUAAGUUGACUGCCGGUGACAAACCGGAGGAAGGUGGGGAUGACGUCAAAUCAUCAUGCCCCUUAUGAUUUGGGCUACACACGUGCUACAAUGGACAAUACAAAGGGCAGCGAAACCGCGAGGUCAAGCAAAUCCCAUAAAGUUGUUCUCAGUUCGGAUUGUAGUCUGCAACUCGACUACAUGAAGCUGGAAUCGCUAGUAAUCGUAGAUCGGCAUGCUACGGUGAAUACGUUCCCGGGUCU
rnacentral:rRNA from 1 species